UACGGAGGGGGCUAGCGUUGUUCGGAAUUACUGGGCGUAAAGCGCACGUAGGCGGCUUUUGUAAGUUAGAGGUGAAAGCCCGGGGCUCAACUCCGGAAUUGCCUUUAAGACUGCAUCGCUUGAACGUCGGAGAGGUGAGUGGAAUUCCGAGUGUAGAGGUGAAAUUCGUAGAUAUUCGGAAGAACACCAGUGGCGAAGGCGGCUCACUGGACGACUGUUGACGCUGAGGUGCGAAAGCGUGGGGAGCAAACAGG
rnacentral:rRNA from 1 species